UUCAUGUGUGAUGUAGCGUACUACAAGCGUUCUGAAGCAUGUACCAUCGACACUUGGUGCACGGAAGUCGAGGAGCAUGUGCUUUAAAAGUGAGAGACUUCACACAAAACCGCAGUUACCGCAUUUCACUUAUACCGAUUUAUAUAUGGCAAAUCAUUACAUACAUUGUGCUUUCAAACUGCCUCUACAGUAAAACGAGGCCUGUUAUAAACGUUGAGGAUGACAAGAUUUAAAAAGAAAGCAUCGCUAAGUGUGUACCGCUCUAGGUGGAAACACACCUAUAAAACAAAAACAAAAGAUAACAUCUAAGUACAACGCCAUUUAAACACAGAAAACAAUAACAUACACGUGCAAUAUAAGUGUAAUGAAAAAAAGGUUAAGCCGGUUCGAUACUAUUAUAAGGUUGAUGUGACAACAAACUAACAUUAUUGCGAUUCGACAUACCUGAAGCGAUUGGGAAUACCUGGCGCGAGCUUAGACGAUGUAUAUCAGUGAAUAGUUUUUUAAUUGCAAACUUAAAUAACAAAUGCUUAUUGAUAUCAACGA